rnacentral:ribozyme from 2 species
GCCUUAAUGCAGCCACUCAUAGAGUGAUGGUCACAAGCCCAUAUAAAUGCAGAGUGAGGC